GACGAACGCUGGCGGCGUGCUUAACACAUGCAAGUCGAACGGAAAGGCCUGCUUUCCCUUGUGGCUUGCGGGUACUCGAGUGGCGAACGGAUGAGUAACACGUGUAUGAUCUGCCCCCAACUUUGGUAUAAGCCUGGGAAACUGGGUCGAAUUCCCUAUAGGACUGCAGGGUGGUGCCUGUGGUGGAAAACGAUUUUCUAGUGGUUGGGGAUGAGCUCGCGGCCUAUCAGCUUGUUGGUGGGGUAAUUGCCUACCAAGGCGGCGACGGGUAGCCGGCCUGGGAGGGUGGACGGGCGCAUUGGGACGGAGAUCAGGCGCAGACGCCUAGGGGAGGCAGGAGUGGGGAAGAUUGGACGAUGGGCGGAAGCCUGAUGCAGCGACGCCGCGGGGGGGAUGACGGGCUUCGGGUGGUAAACUCCUUUCGACCGAGAGGAAGCCACCUGGUUGGAAGGGUGGUGACGGUAGUGGUAGAAGAAGCACCGGCUAACUACGUG
rnacentral:rRNA from 1 species